ensembl:lncRNA PCBP1-AS1 PCBP1 antisense RNA 1
GAACACAAAAUGGCGACACGUGGUUAGCAUUCGUCGCCAACGAGAAAUUGGGGUCGGCCCGAAAGCUCUAGAAUGCACCCCUCUUCCUCCCCGGGGCCUUCCACCUCCGCGAGUUUUAUGACUUAAAAAAGCCCACAGGCUGGUCUGAAGAGGAAGACAAACAUAAAGAUGAAGUGCUUAAUUCAAGGUCACACAAUGUCGGGGAUGGACCUCCAGAUUUCCUUACUGGUGAGACGUGGUCUUGUAACACAGUGGUUAAGAAUGUGACUUUGGAGCCAGCCUGCUAGGGGCUGAAUUCUGACUCAGCCAUUUACUAACUGUGUGACCUUAGGUCACAGAAUUUUCCACACUCCUUGACAGAGGUGCUUAACCCUUAUCCAUCAGCAUUCUCAGACAGCACCUCCGGUUAGGGACAGUAUCUGACCGUCCGACAUCCCUGCAGCCCCCAUGUGUCACACAGACUCAGCCUCAGGUAGAUGGUUUCCGUAGAUGGUGGCUUUCUUUGGACCCUUGACAUCAACCAGUUACUAUUUGCCCCGCAGUGGCUCACGCCUGUAAUCCCAGCACUUUGGGAGGCCGAGGUGGGCGGAUUGCCUGAGGUCGGGAGUUCAAGACCAGCCUGGCCAACAUGGUGAAACCCCUCUCUACUAAAAAUACAAAAUUAGCCAGGUCUGGUGGUGCAUACCUGUAAUCCCAGCUACUCGGGAGACUGAGGCAGGAGAAUCGCUUGAACCCGGGAGGCGAAGAUUGUGGUGAGCCGAGAUUGGGCCAUUGCACUCCAGCCUGGGCAACGAGAGUGAGACUCCAUCUCAAAAAAAUAACAAAUAAAGCCCCUGAAGGGAGGCUUCUCUGGGCUGCAGGUGACCCAGCCCCCAGAGGAACAAUAAAUGACUUUGGGGUAACAAAGUCAUGACUCAAAGUAGUCUUGUCAGGGUGGAAAAAAGAAGACAUUUUACAAGGGAAAAUGUAACAUUUUAUAUUUGGGUUCACUAAAAUGAUUCGUUCAAAUACAUAGUGGAGGAGCGUGGGGGCCCAAGGGGACUGGUUUUCCAUGGGUUCCUUAUGGACCAAGAGUGUGAAGAUCAGGAGAGCCCCCACACAUGGGAGGCAAGGACCUAGCACAGGGAGGGCCGCAGCCUUUCUCCAUCCCCGCUUCUUGGGCCAACUGCCCGUGUGUGGGGUGCAGCUCUCAGAUCCCAGCCAAGUAGGAAUUCCCCAGGCAGGUCACCAAGAGGAAGGGGGUGUGGGGGCAGAGCAGUGGUGACGAUGCAGGGGCUGUUAGCCAGAGGAGAGGUGAAUUUAUAUAGCUGAAAAGCCACCAAAGAUGAGAGAGGGACCGUUCUUUAUGUCCAGCAGGCCACGUUUGAGGAGGCUGGCUGGGGUCCCAUCUGAGAUGAGUGCCGGUGUGGUGCGGAGUUCCCUGCCAAAGGAGGGUCUACACAGUCUCAAGAUGGCCUCUCUGCCAGGGUACACCUCAGAAGGGAUCUUAGAGGCUGCGUAUGAAGGUGGCCCGAGGGCGCCUAAUGUCCCUUCCCAAGAAGUUGAUGAUUACCAUGGAUGAGGAGUCAGUAGGAGAGAAAGUGUCCUUGUCCAGGCAGCUGGGAGGAGUGGUUAAAAGGGAGGCCAGGUGUGGUGGCUCACACCUGUAAUCCCUGCACUUUGGGAGGCCAAGGCAGGGAGAUGGCUUGAGUCCAGGACUUAGAGACCAGCCUGGGCAACAUAGUAAGACCUCAUCUCCACAAAACAUUUUUUAAAAAAUUAGCGAAGUGUGGCAGGAGGCUCAGGUGGGAGGAUCACAUGAGCCCUAGAUGUCGAGGCUACAGUAAGCCCUGAUCACACAACUGCACUCCAGCCUGGGCCGCAGAGUGAGACCCUGUCUACAUAAAUGAACAGGCUGGGCACAGUGGCUCAUGCCUGUAAUCCAAGCACUUUGGGAGGCUGAGGUGGGAGGAUCAUUUGAGGUCAGGAGUUCGAGACCAGCCUGGCCAACAUGCUGAAACCCUAUCUCUAAUAUAAAUACAAAUAUUAGCCGGACAUGGUGGCGGGGGCCUGUAAUCCCAGCUACUCGGGAGGCUGAGGAAUGAGAAUCGCAUGAACCCAGGAGGUGGAGGUUGCAGUGAGCCAAGAUCUCGCCAUUGUACUCCAACCUGGACAAU